UGGGGCUCAGCGAGUUU
rnacentral:miRNA from 1 species